rnacentral:lncRNA from 1 species
CUGCACAGUUUAUUGGAAAGGGGGAGGGGGCACAGAUGGAGGGAGAGGGGGGGGGGAACAGCACCUCCUGGGUGGGAGGGGGAAGCCCCCCCCCCCAUGAGCGCCGCUCACUUCUCCUUGUGCUGAAUGAGGCCUUUGGCCACGAGGUCGGGGAUCUCCACCGCCAGCCACGGACCCAACCCCAACGCCAUGAGGUGCGCCAAACCAAACUUGGGAACGUUGCGGGCCCACAGGGGCUUGAAGUGGUCGCUGAGGCAAAUUUUGCCCCCUCUGUACAUCUUGGCUGUUUUCCCAUCCAGCUCCGGGAUGGCGAUCUCAGGAGCAGUGUUGGGGUACGUCACCGGGAUCUCAAACUCAAUGGCAAAUUCAUACUUGAGCAGCUCAUGGAUGUGCCAACAGCGCCCGGACCACCGCGUGCCCUCCGCGUUGGACUCGAGCCGGAACCAGUCAUUGUCAGAGGCCUUGUUGUGCUCCACGUACUGCAGGAGGCGACGGGGGGGGAAGGUUAAAAGGGGGAACAGUGGGGGAAAAGCGAAGGGAAAAGAGAAAGGAGAAAUGGGGGCAAAAGAGGGGAAGAUUGGAAAAAGAAGGAGUGAAAAACUGGAAAAAUGGGCGAGGGGGAAACAGAAUGGGAAAAAGAAGGGAGGAAAAAGGGCUAGAAUGGGAAAAGGAGAGGAAAAAGAAUGGGAAAAUCGGCGAUAAGGAGGAAAAAGUGAGAAAUGAAGGGGAAAAAAAAAGGGAGAAAGGCGGAAAAGGUGAUGGAAGGACGGGAACUUCCGGGAAACGAAGGGACGUCGGGACCGCCGCACCUGAAUGAGCGCGCGGUACUCCUCCUUGAGGCGCUCGGCCCAACGCUCCCGGUCCCGCGGCCCCGCCGCCGUCCGCAGCAGCGGCACCGCCGCCACCGCCCGCCGCGCCGCCUCCUCCGCCAUCGCGGGGUCCGGAAGCGGCGCUGUCCCGGGAGGGCGGGGAUGGCCACGCCGCCAUCUUGGCGCGGGGCGGAAAUGACGCGGAAGGGGCGGGAGCAGAAGAGCGCCGCCAUGUUGGAGAGGGGCGCGGACGCGAGGGGACGGAAGCGCCGCCAUCUUGGUGAAGGGCUAGAGGGCGCCGCUGCCGCCGCCAUGUUUACUGCGGGUUGCCUGAGGAUCCGCCAUCUUUAGUGCUGGCAGCGCUCAAUGUCAGCUCUCCGCUGCAAAUCGUUUCUUUCCCCCAUUUCUUUUCCCUUUUCCCUCUUUUUUUUUCUCUUUUUUCUCUUUAUUUUCCAUUUCCCACCUUUUUUUCCUCUUCUUUCUCCCGUUUUCCCCUCCUUUUUCCUUUUUUUUUCUCUCACCCCUUAUUUUUCCAAUUUGUUCCCCUUUCCCCCCCUUUUUACUCCUUAUUUCCCCCCUUUAUUUCCUUUAUUUCCCAUUUUCUCUUCUUUCAUUUUCC